CUGGCGGCAGGCUUAACACAUGCAAGUCGAGCGGUAACAGGGGUAGCUUGCUACCUGCUGACGAGCGGCGGACGGGUGAGUAACGCGUAGGAAUCUACCCAGUAGCGGAGGAUAGCCCGGGGAAACCCGGAUUAAUACCGCAUAUGUCCCAUGGGGGAAAGCAGGGGAUUUUUGGAUUUUGCGCUAUUGGAUGAGCCUGCGUCGGAUUAGCUAGUUGGUGGGGUAAAGGUUUACCAAGGCGAUGAUCCGUAGCUGGUCUGAGAGGAUGAUCAGCCACACCGGGACUGAGAUAUGGCCCGGACUCCUACGGGAGGCAGCAGUGGGGAAUAUUGGAUAAUGGGGGUAAUCCUGAUCCAGCCAUGCCGCGUGUGUGAAGAAGGCUUUCGGGUUGUAAAGCAUUUUCAGUGGGGAGGAAAUGGUCAUGGUUAAUAUUUGUGACAAUUGACGUUACCCACAGAAGAAGCACCGGCUAACUCCGUGCCAGUAGUUGUGGUAAUACGGAGGGUGCAAGCGUUAAUCGGAAUUACUGGGCGUAAAGCGCGCGUAGGCGGUCUGGUCAGUUGGGUGUGAAAUCCCCGGGUUUAACCUGGGAAUUGCAUCCAAUACUGCCAGGCUGGAGUAUGGGAGAGGGUAGUGGAAUUCCACGUGUAGUGGUGAAAUGUGUAGAUAUGUGGAGGAACACCCGUGGCGAAGGUGAUUGCCUGGCCCAAUACUGACGCUGAGGUGCGAAAGCGUGGGUAGCGAAUAGGAUUAGAUAUUUUGGUAGUUUACGCUGUAAACGAUGUCAACUAGCCGUUGGAGGAUUUGAUCUUUUAGUGGCGCAGUUAAUGCGAUAAGUUGACCGCCUGGGGAGUACGGCCGCAAGGUUAAAACUCAAAUGAAUUGACGGGGGCCCGCACAAGCGGUGGAGCAUGUGGUUUAAUUUGAGGCAAUGUGAAGAACCUUACCAGGUCUUGACAUCCUGAGAAUCCUGUAGAGAUACGGGAGUGUUUUCGGGAAUUCAGUGACAGGUGCUGCAUGGCUGUCGUCAGCUCGUGUUGUGAGAUGUUGGGUUAAGUUUUGUAACGAGCGCAACCCUUGUCCUUAGUUGUUAGCAUGUAAUGCUGAGAACUCUAAGGAGACUGCCGGUGACAAACCGGAGGAAGGUGGGGACGACGUCAAGUCAUCAUGGCCCUUACGACCUGGGCUACACACGUGCUACAAUGGCCGGUACAAAGGGCAGCAAAGCGGUGAUGUGGAGCUAAUCCCAUAAAACCGGUCGUAGUCCGGAUUGGAGUCUGUAAUUUGACUCCAUGAAGUCGGAAUCGCUAGUAAUCGUAGAUUAGAAUGCUACGGUGAAUACGUUCCCGGGCUUUGUAUAUAUUGCCCGUCACAUUAUGGGAGUGGGUUGCACCAGAAGUGGCUAGUCUAACCUUCGGGGGGACGGUCACUACGGUGUGGUUCAUGACUGGGGUG
rnacentral:rRNA from 1 species